GACGAACGCUGGCGGCGUGCCUAAUACAUGCAAGUCGAGCGAAUGACGAGAAGCUUGCUUCUCUGAUUUAGCGGCGGACGGGUGAGUAACACGUGGGCAACCUGCCCUACAGAUCGGGAUAACUCAGGGAAACCUGGGCUAAUACCGGAUAAUCCUUCGAAUCACAUGUUUUGAAGUUGAAAGGCGCUUCGGCGUCACUGUAGGAUGGGCCCGCGGUGCAUUAGCUAGUUGGUGGGGUAACGGCCUACCAAGGCAACGAUGCAUAGCCGACCUGAGAGGGUGAUCGGCCACAUUGGGACUGAGACACGGCCCAAACUCCUACGGGAGGCAGCAGUAGGGAAUCUUCCACAAUGGACGAAAGUCUGAUGGCGCAACGCCGCGUGAGUGAUGAAGGUUUUCGGAUCGUAGAACUCUGUUGUAAGGGAAGAACAAGUACGUUAGGAAAUGAACGUACCUUGACGGUACCUUAUUAGAAAGCCAUGGCUAACCACGUGCCAGCAGCCGCGGUAA
rnacentral:rRNA from 1 species